GCAAAAUAAUAUUUCAUUUCACAGGCAAAAUUUUUGGAAUCAAGUGCUACCGCUGGUAAGAGAAAUUGUCUUCAUCAAGAUAACUGAAUGGGUACUUCACUGAUAACGCUUCCUAUACUUCCAGUGGCAUGGACAGGAUCAGCAAUUAUCUUCCUGAUUCGACUCCCAUUGAUAAUCGCUAGACUCAUAUUGAAAAUCUUCACAAGCCCGUUAAAAUUCACAAUAAGCUUACCCUUUAAAAUCAUAAAACUUCCAUUCAAUAUAGCGGAUUCACUGAUUGAUUUAUUAUUUUUCAUUGUGCGUCUGCCAUUUACUUCUAUAUAUACUAUCCUAAAGCUACCUUUUUGGUUUGUAAAACAACUUUGAGUAUAACAUGUACACUUUGGAAGGUGCAGUUAAAGUUAUUAUUGUUGAAUGUGAAUAUUUCAAAUAAAUGAAAUGUUUGUUCAAUAAUA